GAACCCUAAUCACAAGGCAGGAGAAGGUCGCAGCGAGCGCAGGCAGAACACUGCUUGGGUCUCCAAGCUAACGCGCUCUCCUCUGCUCUUGUCCACGUCACAGGACUGCUCCUGACUCCAGAGACCCUCCAGAGCAAGGAUUAUCAUCCAUCUGCUCUUUUUCUGCCUACUCGCCAGAACUUCCCCCAGUCUGAUCAGGAUGUCUGGGCAGAACGAACCAGAAUCCCUACCAUCAAAUGAGUCCAGUCCUUCGCCUCUGCAACCUGCAGAUGGAGAAGCCAAUCCAGUUGUUGUUGAAGUGGCCAGACUAAUGCAAGAAAUUGGAGACAAGCUGUAUUUGGAAUACCUUCUUCGCAACAUGACAUGAAGUUGAUUUUGGACGAUCCUCAAUAUAUUCACAUAGUAAAAGGCUUUGAGAGGGGAAAUGUAAAAGUUUAAAAGGAGCUUUAAUAGUGAAUGCUCAUAAGAAUAUCCAUACUAGGAAAAAAAUGUUUUGGAGAUUUGUUUGGAGCCAUUGUUUUCAACCAUUGAAAAUAUAGAGCAAAAUGAAAGUCAAAGAUGUUUGGAACCUGGAAGGUUUUUGUUCUAUUUCGGUAUUUUUUACAUAGGGUUCAAUGUGGAAUGUUUACAUGUUACUAUAGGUACAAAUAAGAUAUCUACAUUGUGAACAGUGUCUCACUCUCUUAAACAACAGAAUUUCUAAUGACAACUGCUUUUGCAUGCCAGAUAAAUGUGGUUCAGUCUGUGUAUAUCAAGACCAUGUAAUUUCAAUUAAAUGUGAUAGUAAAGCCACAUUUGUGGUCUGCAUUCUCCCUGAAACAAUGACUGAUUGCUUGAACUGACUAGGUUUCUUUUAGAAAAAUGUUGGUGAAUUUUAAGGAGAAGAAAAUAAGAAUUUGGCAAAUUUGAAUUGCAGACAGGAAUUCUCUUCUGAAAUCAGUAGGAAUUUUACAUUUUGGACUUUUUCUUGAACAAUUGCAAUUUAAUUUUGGUCCUGGGGAUUGGAGAUUUCAAAGAACAUUGUUAUUUAUCUAAUUUAUGGUUAAAAAGUUCUGUUUUUUUUCGUAUUUAUAAAAUAAUGUGCUAUGUAAAUCUGUUAAUGUAUGACAUUUAUUCGUUGUUUGAUAUGUUACUGCAUUAAAAUGUUCAUGUUACUCUUAAAAUGACAUGUUACUGCAUUAAAAUUAUAGCCUCCA